rnacentral:rRNA from 1 species
GAAUUUAAGCAUAUAAUUAAGCGGAGGAAAAGAAACUAACUAGGAUUCCCUCAGUAACGGCGAGUGAAGCGGGACUAGCUCAGGAUGUGAAUCUGCGCUCUAUUGGCGCCGAAUUGUGGUCUGUAGACUUUGACGUUAUCUGCCGGGCCAAGUUCCUUGGAAAAGGACAGCUGAGAGGGUGAGACUCCCGUCCGCCUGGUUGAGUGAGUCAUUUGUCAACGAGUCGAGUUGUUUGGGAUUGCAGCUCUAAUUUGGUGGUAAAUUCCAUCUAAAGCUAAAUAUUGGUGGGAGACCGAUAGCGUACAAGUACCGUGAGGGAAAGAUGCAAAGAACUUUGAAAAGAGAGUUAAAGAGUACCUGAAACUGCUGAAACGGAAGCGAAGGAAACCAGUGUUUGUUUGUUCAUAUUUCCCUGGCCACUUGUGGUUUGGGCGCUGUGAGCUUGCGUGAGUUUGGGUUGGUUGAUCCCUUUGGAAGAGCGCAGUCAGAGUUGAUGUCUGUUGCUAGCACUGGGUUUGACUGAUGCAGACGAAAUGGUUUUCUUUACCCCGUCUUGAAACACGGACCAAGGAGUCUAACAUAUGUGCGAGUACAGGGGUGUCAAACCCCGGUGCGUAAUGAAAGUGACAGUGGUUGGAAUUUUGCACAAUCCGCCGGCCUCAAUCCUUCGGGAGAACGGUCUGAGUGUGAGCAUACAUGUUGGGACCCGAAAGAUGGUGAACUAUGCCUGAAUAGGGUGAAGCCAGGGGAAACUCUGGUGGAGGCUCGUAGCGAUUCUGACGUGCAAAUCGAUCGUCAAAUUUGGG